UACGGGGGGGGGCAAGCGUUGUUCGGAAUUACUGGGCGUAAAGGGCUCGUAGGCGGCCAACUAAGUCGGAUGUGAAAUCCCCAGGCUUAACCUGGGAAUUGCAUCCGAUACUGGAUGGCUUGAAUCCGGGAGAGGGAUGCGGAAUUCCAGGUGUAGCGGUGAAAUGCGUAGAUAUCUGGAGGAACACCGGUGGCGAAGGCGGCAUCCUGGACCGGCAUUGACGCUGAGGAGCGAAAGCCAGGGGAGCAAACGGGG
rnacentral:rRNA from 1 species